rnacentral:rRNA from 1 species
GAUGAACGCUGGCGGCGUGCCUAAUACAUGCAAGUAGAGCGCUGAAGCUUGGUGCUUGCACCGAGCGGAUGAGUUGCGAACGGGUGAGUAACGCGUAGGUAACCUGCCUCUUAGCGGGGGAUAACUAUUGGAAACGAUAGCUAAUACCGCAUAAAAGUCGAUAUCGCAUGAUAUUGAUUUGAAAGGUGCAAAUGCAUCACUAAGAGAUGGACCUGCGUUGUAUUAGCUAGUUGGUGAGGUAACGGCUCACCAAGGCGACGAUACAUAGCCGACCUGAGAGGGUGAUCGGCCACACUGGGACUGAGACACGGCCCAGACUCCUACGGGAGGCAGCAGUAGGGAAUCUUCGGCAAUGGGGGCAACCCUGACCGAGCAACGCCGCGUGAGUGAAGAAGGUUUUCGGAUCGUAAAGCUCUGUUGUAAGAGAAGAACGAGUGUGAGAGUGGAAAGUUCACACUGUGACGGUAACUUACCAGAAAGGGACGGCUAACUACGUG